CCCAUCAGCAACCAGACUCAACAUCUGGACAUCACUCAACUCUGUCACACAUGUACAGAUGAGGUUAAAGGAAUCAUCCCCGUGGUUGUGAAGGUGGGAGAUUCAGUCACUCUGAACUCUGGUGUUACUCAUAUUAAGAACACUGAUUUGAUUCAGUGGGAGAUUGGAUGGGAAGAGAUUUUAAUGGCUGAAAUUAAUAAUUUGGCCGGCAAAGUCACUGUAUAUGAUGUUUCUGAUGGAAGAUUCAGAGGCAGACUGAAUGUGGAUAAUCAAACUGUGGAUAUUAUAGAAAAAAGAUCAACGGUGUGAUAGAGAAUAUGCAAGUUGCUACCCAAAAUGAAAUAUCAGUGAAGGAGGGGGAUUCAGUCACUCUGAACCCUGGUUUUAUUCUGGAUGAUUGGGGUUUUAUUCAGUGGUAUUUUGACCUAAAUAACAAAUUCAAAGUACUGAUCGAUUCAGUCAUGCAAUAUGAAGAUGCUGCUAAUGGGAGAUAUAUAAACAGAUUUAAGUUGGACAAAAAGAAUGGAACUCUGACCAUCAGAAACAUCACAACUGAAGAUGCCGGAUUGUAUUUACUAGAUACCCAAUAUGUGUUGAUUCUUUUCAAUGUUACUGUCUACGAUUCUGUGAAGCUGUGAUCCGAUUGGUCCUCUCUGCUCUGGUGGGCGUGGCUACUCUCACUCUUCCGGUUUAUGACAUCAGAUCCAAAAGAAAUGAACAAGAUCAAGCACAAAUUAGAAACAUAAAUUGUGUAAUUUCUCAUAUAACUUUUCAUAUAAUUUUUUUUUUAAUCUUCAUGUAUUUUAAAUGGCUUUAUAUAGUAAUAUUGAGGUGUUUUGAGUUGAUCAGCUGAUUGGCAUGUCGGCAUAUUCUAAUUAGUUGAGAUAUUGAUUUGUUGGGUUUUUGUUUUGGGUUUUCUGUGUGCACUGAAUUUAUUUAAUACACGAGUUUCACAAUUUGAGUUGAAUUACUGAAAUAAAUGAACUUUUCCACAACAUUCUAAUUUAUUGAGAUGCACCUGUAUGUGUGUAAAAUUCUAAUACAAUUAUGAAGUAAUUAUUUUAUGACAAUAAAUCUUUCGGUUAAUAAAAUUGGAUGUGUUUGUAGUAUUAUAGACUACCAGUUUGAAAUGAUUUAUUGUUUAUAUUUCUCUCAGAUAAUACACACACAUCUCAUUUUACUACUGCUGUCCAUUUGCCAUUUGUGCUUGCUUUACUUUAUCAGUAAAGUUUUCUCUCUUCAAGAAUUUCUCCAUGU